CACAGGAAGUGAGGGCUGGAGCUCAUGUCUCGGGAGGAAGCUGUCAGUCAGCUCGGCGCAGCCGUGAGCAAGUGACCGGAUGCUGGAGGAAUAAACCCUAGAUGUCCUGGCAUCCCACCCCAGAUCUUCUCUGAAGACCGGGCUUCAGCUUUCCCAGCUCUAAGGACUCUCUGCCUUACUCAGCUCACGUCACGAAGCCAUGUUGCUCUCUCCUUUAAACCUUCAAACGGGACAGCAGCGACUCUGCAAAUACCUCCUAGUUCAGCUGGUGAAGUCUCAGGAUAAUUGUUAUUUCUUGAUGCUCUGAUUCCAGAGCCAGUAAGUGGUAUGUCUGCCGGCACCAGGCCUUUUACACAUGUCGUCCAAACACGG